GAUGAACGCUAGCGGGAGGCCUAACACAUGCAAGCCGAGCGGUAUUGUUUCUUCGGAAAUGAGAGAGCGGCGUACGGGUGCGGAGCACGUGUGCAACCUGCCUUUAUCUGGGGGAUAGCCUUUCGAAAGGAAGAUUAAUACUCCAUAAUAUAUUGAACGGCAUCGUUUAAUAUUGAAAGCCCCGGCGGAUAGAGAUGGGCACGCGCAAGAUUAGCUAGUUGGUGAGGUAACGGCUCACCAAGGCAAUGAUCUUUAGGGGGCCUGAGAGGGUGAUCCCCCACACUGGUACUGAGACACGGACCAGACUCCUACGGGAGGCAGCAGUGAGGAAUAUUGGUCAAUGGGUGCAAGCCUGAACCAGCCAUCCCGCGUGAAGGACGACUGCCCUAUGGGUUGUAAACUUCUUUUGUAUAGGGAUAAACCUACCCUCGUGAGGGUAGCUGAAGGUACUAUACGAAUAAGCACCGGCUAACUCCGUGCCAGCCGCCGCAGUAAAAC
rnacentral:rRNA from 1 species